CUUCAGGACGGAGUCAAUAGUACACGUUCUGAUCAAAACAAAAUGUAAACAAAAACUGGAAUUUGCGCUACAUGUCUGUUCAACCGUAAUUCACCUCUUUCAUAUUAUAUGCACCCACACUUAUAUAUCAGUUUGUUCAGGAGAAACAGGGCUUUCAUUUCAUAUCAAUUAUUUAUAUAAGAAACAUAAUUUAUUAUGAAUAAAAUCAAAACAACUGUGAG